rnacentral:rRNA from 1 species
UACGAGGGGGGCGAGCGUUGUUCGGAAUUAUUGGGCGUAAAGCGUGCGCAGGCGGUUUUGUAAGUCUGACGUGAAAUCCCCGGGCUUAACCUGGGAAUUGCGUUGGAGACUGCAAGGCUAGAGUCUGGCAGAGGGGGGUAGAAUUCCACGUGUAGCAGUGAAAUGCGUAGAGAUGUGGAGGAACACCGAUGGCGAAGGCAGCCCCCUGGGUCAAGACUGACGCUCAUGCACGAAAGCGUGGGAGCAAACAGG